rnacentral:tRNA from 1 species
UCCGUUGUAGUCUAGCUGGUUAGGAUCCUCGGCUCUAAUCCGAGAGACCCAGGUUCGAGUCCCGGCAACGGAA